rnacentral:tRNA from 1 species
GCCAGGGUGGCUCAGUCGGUAAAGUGUCUGACUGUUGGUUUCAGCUCAGAUCAUGAUCUCAUGGUUUGUGGGUUUGAACCCCACAUUGGGCA